UACGAAGGGUGCAAGCGUUACUCGGAAUUACUGGGCGUAAAGCGCACGUAGGCGGCUUUGUAAGUUAGAGGUGAAAGCCCGGGGCUCAACCCUGGAAUUGCCUUUAAUACUGGCGGCCUUGAGUAUGGCAGAGGUGUGUGGAACUCCGAGUGUAGAGGUGAAAUUCGUAGAUAUUCGGAAGAACACCAGUGGCGAAGGCGACACACUGGGCCAUUACUGACGCUGAGGCGCGAAAGCGUGGGGAGCAAACAGG
rnacentral:rRNA from 1 species